rnacentral:rRNA from 1 species
GAUGAACGCUAGCGGCAGGCUUAAUACAUGCAAGUUGAGGGGCAGCAUGAUAUACGCGAGUAUAUUGAUGGCGACCGGCGGACGGGUAAGUAAUAGGUAGGAGACCUACCUCAUACAGGGGGAUAGCAUAGAGAAAUCUGUGGUAAUACCCCAUGAGGUUAUAUGAAUAGAGGCAUAUAAUCAAAGCAUAAGCGAUUAUGCGGUAUGAGAGGGGCCUACUGACCAUUAGCUAGUUGGUGAGGUAAGGGCUCACCAAGGCGAAGAUGGUUAGGGGUUUUGAGAGAGAGACCCCCCACAUUGGAACUGAGAGACGGUCCAGACUCCUACGGGAGGCAGCAGUAGGGAAUAUUGGGCAAUGGGCGAAAGCCCUGACCCAGCCAUGCCGCGUGAAGGAAGACGGCCUUAUGGGUUGUAAACUUCUUUACUACGCGAAUAGAGGUUAGUACGAGAUACUAAUAGGAAGGUAGUGUAGUAAAAGCACCGGCUAACUCCGUGCC